UUCAAAAUACCCCCCAAAAAUCACAAUUUAUAACUCAGUUAGGGAUUACAAUUUCAAAACCCCAUAGCAAACAGGGGCUUCAAAAUACCCCCAAAAAAUCGCUAUAACUUAAUUAGGGAUUUCAAAACCCCAGCCCAGAUCGAUUAAUAAUCGUUGGAAAAAUUAAUUAAAUAGAAUUACCGCAUUUUCACAAGACCACUAAAUCGCAAACGCCUAGAGCCACCAAGUGAAGGAUCAAACUCAUCCUUCGAACGCAACCUGUUGGAGUUAGAUGAAGAACUACCAGUCGGUCCCUUUGAACUUGAACGCAGAACCACCAUCGUUUUGCCCUAAAAUAUAUAUAGGAUAUAUAAUACUAGGUUUUUUUUAUUGUACUAAAGUAUAUAUAAUAGGUUUUUUAAUGGCAGGUCCAUGGACUUGAUUUUUAGGUCCCAAAUGUUAUUCACGUCACGGGUCCUCGUCUGGUGAGCCACCCCGAAAUUUUGGAAUCUCAAUCGAAUAGAAUCGAUUGAAUCAAACGCUCCGCAUCGAAUUUGUUUGAGACACAAAUUGCUACUUCUCGGGUUUUAAUUUUUGUGAUUUAGGUUUUUAUGAAACUAAUUAAAUCACCGCCACCACCCUCUUCCACCUGCUUCGGUUACUGUUGAAUCACCACUACCACCCUACUCAUUCAAAUUGAAUCACCACCACCGCCCUCUUCCUCUCCUAAAUGAGUCGUCCACCACCACCAUCAAUAGCUAUUACAGUUGAAACCAAGAAACUCAAAUCCACUAAUUUUUAGUUAGGGGUUUAUAGCUAUUGAAGCGAGUAGUUGUGCUUUAUAGCUAUUGAAGCGAGUAGGUCGUGAUGGAAUUUGCAUUGGGUUGAGAAGUUCAGGGAAAAAUAAUAGCAAAGAUGUUUUGGACUAACCGGGCACAAGCAGACUAAAUGCUUAUCUCAAAGAACCCAUGAUGGGCCUCACAUGUGGUUGAAGGAAGUUAAAUAUUACAACAGAAUGAGGUGAUCUUGGCUGAAAAAAUGGUGUUUAUGAACAUGCAAACCAACAUGUUGCGAGAUUAUCUUGCAAGUCCCACCCUGCCCAAUGUUAAGUUGAAAGAGAAAAUAGUUUGAAGAUAUUUAAGCGAUGGAGAAUGUUCCUCACAGCCUUAAAAUCAUCGAGCAAUCUUGACUUCAGCAGUGGAUUGAUACCAAAACAGAUGGCAGUCAACAACCCUUGCUCGGUUUUGACAGUUAAUUUUUUUUUAUGCUGACAAGUUCCAAACUCUGGUCACCCGUGUCGUCACCCAAUGACUUUGACAGUUGAUUCAUACCACAGUGGAUGACAGUCAACAAUCCAGUCUCUGUUGAAGCCAUAGAAUAAUUUAUGGUUUCUCAAGGUUGAAGAACUGAAGUACUUUGAAGAUCAGAAGAACAUUGAAGGUCAACAUGGCCCAUCGACUGAGAAGUGGUUUUGUGUGCUUAUAUAGUAAAGAAGCCCUUUCAUGUAUGGUGAUGCAGGAGGUCUUGUCAUUAAUUUGCCAGAGAAUCAGAAGAUGUUUAUUGUAAAACAUUGGAACAACAGCUCAGUGAUCUCUUUUGGGUAUCAUUCAAUGGUUGAAGCAGUGUCAGAAAGCAUAGGUGAAGAUUCAGGUAAUACCAAAGAUUAUGGAGCCUCUCAGAAUAUCAUGCCGAGCUUGAAUAUCUUGAACAACCUAGCAUGUUCUCCUACAAAUACAUCCCAAGGUUAGAAAUAAACUGACCUUGCUUGGCAACAGAUAUGCUAUUUGCUGAUGACACAAACUUGUAUUAAAGAACACACCAGAGACCAACCAUAGCUGACAUAUUAAUGAGCAUCUGGGAUAAUUCUAUAGACGGACACUAAUGCCACAUCGUUAUAUUGAAGUACACCAAAGAAAAAUAUCUUCUUUUGUUGUAUCAUGGUGUCCAUUUGUAUUUUCCCUGUGUAUUUUUAUGUGAUUUACUUGAUGCGCACAGUACCGAGACACUAAGGUGACAUCGUUUAUAUUGAGACACACCAAAGAAAAGUAUUAUGUCCAGAUCUUUUUUUUUUCUGUAUGUCCUAGUUCCUAUUUUAAUGUUUGGUGGCUUGGUUGGUACAUACUAGAUAAUUUGGAGCACAGCAUUGCCUUAUUUCUAGGGUUAGAGUGACUAGUAGAAUUAUAACGUCCAUUUGUUUGAUGUCAGAAAUUAGACCAGUCUUGUAUGGUGAACAUUGAGUCAAUGCCCGAUAUCAACUUCAUCAUUUACUUAUUGUUAUAUUUCUGAUGGCGUUUUUGUAUUUUUGGAGUCCAGAGAAUUAGACUUUGCUAGGACAAGAGAUGCAUUGCAGGUUGAAGUGCUCGAAAAAAUGAAUUUAACCAUCAGUUUAUGAUGAUUACUGGAUCACUAACUAGAACCCCAGAUAGUCAAAAAUUUGGAUAAAGUUUUAGAAGCAGCAACGGGUGGCUGGGAAUGGUUGAUAACUUACUCAUCUUAGAAAUCUUUAGAUAGUCUUCGUCAGACAUCGAUCCCAUAGAGCGAGGCUUUUGGUUGUAUUCUGUUGAACUACAGUGAAUUAUUUGUGUAACCAUCUCUAAGUAUGUGUGACUCAACUGGAGUGUCUUGAUAUCGCCUAUAUUGAUUUUCAAGCAUCAGAAAUCCCA